rnacentral:lncRNA from 1 species
UUUCUUCUCCCUUCAGAUACUUUUUCUCUCAUUUCCUCUUCCUUUGUCAAACCUAUCCACCACCACCAUCAAUUUUCACCUUCAUCUCCACCACCGCCAUCACUUUACAUAUCAUUCACAUAUGUCUUCAUACCAUUCCCAUCUUAUUCAUCAUCCUUGACCAAACCCUUAAUUUCUUCCCAAAAUUCUUCUAUGUUUUUUG